rnacentral:rRNA from 1 species
AUUGAACGCUGGCGGCAGGCCUAACACAUGCAAGUCGAACGCGUGGCGGACGGGUGAGUAAUGUCUGGGCAACUGCCCGAUGGAGGGGGAUAACUCCUGGAAACGGUAGCUAAUACCGCAUACCAUCGGAUGUGCCCAGAUGGGAUUAGCUUGUAGGUGGGGUAACGGCUCACCUAGGCGACGAUCCGUAUCUGGUCUGAGAGGAUGAUCAGCCACACUGGAACUGAGACACGGUCCAGACUCCUACGGGAGGCAGCAGUGGGGAAUAUUGGACAAUGGGCGAAAGCCUGAUGCAGCCAUGCCGCGUGUGUGAAGAAGGUCUUCGGAUUGUAAAGCACUUUAAGUUGGGAGGCGUUACCAACAGAAGAAGCACCGGCUAACUUCGUGCCAGCAGCCGCGGUAAUUC